rnacentral:lncRNA from 10 species
GCAUUGUGAUUGGUGCUGAGGAUGUCAGGAUGAAGGCCAAGAAGAGCCUGCACACUUUAGAAGACUUAGUAUGUGCCAGGCACUGUGCUGAGGACUUUCCAUGCCUUAAUUUAUUGAAUCCUCACAGAAGGCUUUACAGAUUGUAUUUUCCAAAGAUGAUCACAACAAUAUCAUCAUGCACCUUCCUAAUCCAGUGGUGGAGUUUAUUUCAGCAUCCCCUUCAAUGUGGGCAGGCCCUGACUAGUAGCAUACAGAGGGAGUAAAGAUGUUCAGUUCCAGGCGUAGUCCUUAUCUGUCUUGGCAGCUUCUUCUUGCUUCCUGGAAUACCUAUUCUGCAAUGCUUCCUCUCAGAACCCAGCUAUCAUGUUCUGAGAAGCCCAAGCCGUGUGGAGAGGCUGUAUGUGGGCAUUCCAGUGACAGCCCUCACUGAGCUCCCAGCCAACUGCCAGCAUCAGCUGUCAGCCAUGUGAGAGCCAUCUUGGAUGUCCAACCCAGCUGAGCCUUCAGAUGACUGUAUCCCCAGCUGCAUUCUGACUACAACAGCAUGAGACUCCAAAUGAGAACCAACCAGCUGAGCCCAGUCAAAUCACAGAGCCAUGAGAGAUAACAAUAGAUUAUUUUAAGCCACAAACCUUUGGGUUGCUUUGAUAUGCAGCAGAAAAUAAUUGGAUUAGCAAACAUUGGUAUGAGUUUUCAUUCCCAUUGGGACAGAUGGGAAAGGUUGACCCAUCUGUCCCAUCUGGGUUUAGAAAUUUCCCAGCUUCACAGAGCUGGUAGGUGGCAGAUUUAGGAUUUAAACCCAAGGCAGCAUGACCCUGACUGCCGAGUUUCCACACAUGACUUCUUUCUAUGAGCUCCCAGUCUCAAAAGAGUCAACUAAAGUGAGAUAUGUCACACACUUCCAGUGUGGGCAAAGGGCUGGGUGCACAUACAGGAGUCAGGUAACUCACCCACAUUUGCCAUAUUGUCUUGCCACCUAUCUAGCCUCAUGUAGCAUCUCCCACUUCUUUGGACCUCAUGCUUAAGCCUGCAUGAACUUCAUCCCCUCUAAUCUGUCAUGCCCGAGUACUUACCUGGAACUCUCUUCUCCACCCACCCAAGGCUGGUUAACACCUCUUUAUCCUUCAGUAUGCAGCUAAGAUGGCCCCUCCUCCAGGAAGCCUUCCCUGACUUCCCCAUCACAUCCCUGACAGGGUAAGGUAUCUCCCCAUGGGCUCCCAUAGUACCCCACUUUUAUUCUAUCAUUAGCAUUUUUCAUACAUAUUGCCUGUUUUCUCAGUCUGGGCAAAGAACAUGUACUCCUGUGCCUGACACAGGUCCUGGCACUUUGUCAGUGCUCAAUAAAUAUUGCCAUGGGGAUUGCUCAUCACUCACAGAAGGCUUCUCAGAGGCCGUAACAUUUUGGCUGGACUUUGUGAGACUGGCGGGCAUUUGCCAGGUUAGCAGUUUUCAACCAGGGUCAUAUACGCAUCGAAAUCACCCGCGCAACUCUUCCCAAACAUGGAUGUCCAGCCCCGCCUGAGCACACUGAAUCAGAAUCUCCAAGGCUGAGCCUGGGCAGGUAUAGUUUUCAUAGGUUUCACAGGUGAUUGCAAAUGACAGCAUGGGCUAAGGAAAGAUAAAAAAGAGAUCUCAUUAUCAUCAUCAUACUCAUCAUCUUACUGUCAGCAACAGUUCUCAGCAUUUGACAUAUCUUAACCCCUUUGAUCCUCACAGUGUUCAUUGUCUACAUAAAGCACAAAUCCUAAGGUGGGCAUCCACAGUCCUGUGGUAUCUCUCCAGCCAAGGUCCCCAGCCCUUUUCCCCAAGUCCCCACACUCCAGCCACGCCAAAGGACUGGGAAUUCCUGGAAUCCGUGGUGCGGUUUCAUGCCUCCUUUCUUGACAUAUGUCAUUCCCUCUUUUGCCCACCCCAUAAAUUUUUAAUCGCCCUUCAAGACCUAGUUCCAAGCACAUAUUCUUUUUUGAAACUUUCUCCUCCCAGUUCAAGACAAGCUGGUUACUCCCAGCUUUGGGCCAUCCCUUACAGGGAUGCUACAGCUCUGCAUUAAUCCCACAAAUAUAAACUGAGUACUACUUUGGGCCAGGCACUCUGCUAAAUACUGGACACAAACAGGGAGCCGUCUAACCCAGACCUCGACUCCUCCCAACAGAGAUGACAGAGAUGACGACCACAGCCUCCUCGGUUAUCUGACUCUAUUUCCCUGUGUUGCUAUGGUUACAAACUCCCUGGGGGAGGGAGUUCCUCUUCUGGGAAGUGUUCAGUCAGGCAUGUGGAAGGCUCUCCGUAACAUUUGCUGAGUGAGGGUUGUGAGCAAAUAACAAGGUGAAUCCUCCUCUCCUCCCUUCCUCUCUCAGUAAAACUUUUCCCCAGCAGCUCUCAAAAUUCCUUGGAUUACCUAAAUCCAAGAAAUCUUUUAUUUCACCCUUGAAGAUGGUCUUUGAUGCUUAUGGUUAUGGAAAUGGCAACGUACAGGAGUCCCUCAGCCCUCAGAUAAUGAAGCCUCAUUGUUCGAUACAUAAGGACUUAGGAAAAAUGAUAAAAUAGGUAACAUUUACUACUAUGAGCCAGAUGCUACUCUAGACCGUUUCCAUAUGUCUUAUCCCAUUUAGAUCUCGCAGUUACCCUGAGGGGUCAUUUCUAUUGUUGUUCCUCUUUACAGAGAAGGAAAUGGAGGCUGAGAGAGGCUUGCCCAAGGUUGCACAUCUAGCAAGUGAUGGAACUAAGGGCCAAACCCAGGCAGUUUGGUUCCAGAGUCCUGCCUCUCAGCCACACAGCCAGGCAGCACAAAGACAAAGGUUUCAGGGUCCCACCUGGCGCUAAAGACCAGGUAUCCUGGCUGGCCCCGCUGUGAUAUAACAUCAUAAACACACUGGUGAAGAAGAGUUAUAGUCAGAGUACCACUCGAAUUGAAGCUUUAAACUGUCAAUAAGCCACCUGCAAUCCCUCGGUGUAGAGAAAAGGAGAACUUGGACAUCUUGAUUUCUCACCAGUUCGCAGGUACUGCUGGUUGGGGGGCUAUACACUGAAAAUCACUGUUAGAAGACUGCUGAAUUGGACAAAGGCCCCUCAAAGGAGAAAUGAUCCAGCACUUGGUUUUUCUGCUUCCCUGAAACCCUCAUCUCAACAAAGAUGCCCUGUUAUCUCCACUGUGGGUCCUGAAGCCUUAGACAAGUACAGAAGUGAAAUGUACAUCUACAUAAAAAAAUGAUACACAGUACUAACUUCAUGCCUGUGGGUAUAGAGCCAGAAAUGUCACAGCACACCUGCAUAUCUAUCACAUUGUCACAGCAGCCCCUAGAUGCAAUUAUUCCUGAAUUACAGAGAAACAAAUGGAGGUACCAGGCAGCUGUGACUGUUGUCUACAGAGAAGACACACGUGGAAGGCAAUUUUUCUUGGUCAUGAAAAUUGUCAAAUGUACAUAAAGGUGAAAUAAAUAGUGUAAUAAAUCCC